rnacentral:rRNA from 1 species
UACGGGGGGGGCAAGCGUUGUUCGGAAUUUCUGGGCGUAAAGGGUUCGUAGGUGGCUUGCUAAGUCAGACGUGAAAUCCCUCAGCUCAACUGGGGAACUGCGUCUGAGACUGGCGAGCUUGAGUGCAGGAGAGGAAUGCGGAAUUCCAGGUGUAGCGGUGAAAUGCGUAGAUAUCUGGAGGAACACCGGUGGCGAAGGCGGCGUUCUGGACGGAUACUGACGCUGAGACGCGAAAGCGUGGGGAGCAAACAGG